rnacentral:lncRNA from 1 species
CGGGCACGCCCACCCGGGUCCGCCGGAGCUGGGGGGCUGGCGCUUGGGCCCCCUCCCGGCCUCCGCCCCUGAGCACUGCGCAGGCUGUGGGCGGCGCCCGCCGGGGCAGGGGGCGUCCCGGGUCACCCGGCGGCCCGGAUCGGCCCGUGACGCCCUCACCCCACCCCUCGGCGGGCCGCAAACGUCCAGAGAGCGCCCCCUCCCCAAGCCCCGACCUGAGCGGGGCGCUAGAAGCCGGGAGGACAAAUCAGACGAAACAGUGUUGACAUGAGGCAGAUCAGAUGGCCGGCCUUCCUGGUGACCAGAUUUCAGGACAGCAAGCAUCCCGGCCAGACCCCAGUAGUUUGUUCCUUGCUAUUGUGGAGUGGUCAGCAUUCCAUGGAAUGGGUGCAUCAUAAUUUGUUUAGCCAUUCACUUGUCGAAGACUAUCUGGGUUGAUUGCCAGUUUGGG